CCCGAUCCAAAAAAAUCAAAACAAAGCAGAAAUAGGGCCCGAUCCACGUGAAUUCUCGCCCAAGUGUCGAAGGAGCUUCGCUCAAGCUAGAAGACAACUUCAUGUUUAGCUUGGGCUACGAAUAGAGUCGCCCAAGCUACGAGGCCUCUUCGCCCAGACGAACAGGAUUCUCACCCGGGCGACUGACAUCGAUACAGCUCGCUUGGUCUUCGCUUCUGGUCGCCCAGGCUUCGUGUUUUCCUUCCUUCUGGUGC
rnacentral:lncRNA from 1 species